CCGCGAGGACGACCUCCCCCAUAAUGGGUAUCGUUCGGGACGGCCCGG
rnacentral:ncRNA from 1 species